rnacentral:rRNA from 1 species
GUAGGUGGCAAGCGUUGUCCGGAAUUAUCGGGCGUAAAGCGCGCGCAGGCGGUCCUUUAAGUCUGAUGUGAAAGCCCACGGCUCAACCGUGGAGGGUCAUUGGAAACUGGGGGACUUGAGUACAGAAGAGGAAAGCGGAAUUCCAAGUGUAGCGGUGAAAUGCGUAGAGAUUUGGAGGAACACCAGUGGCGAAGGCGGCUUUCUGGUCUGUAACUGACGCUGAGGCGCGAAAGCGUGGGGAGCAAACAGGGAUUAGAUACCCUGGUAGUCCACGCCGUAAACGAUGAGUGCUAAGUGUUAGGGGUUUCCCGCCCCUUAGUGCUGCAGCUAACGCAUUAAGCACUCCGCCUGGGGAUACGGCCGCAAGGCUG